rnacentral:lncRNA from 1 species
UGUGCAGAUCUUUUUCCUACCCGCUUGUUCACUGAGAAAGUGCAACCAAUUUUCUAGAACUGAAUGUCUCCUAAUAUACAGGUGUCCACUUUUGAAGUCAACAACAAUAGUGAACCUGAUUCCAAGAUCGGUCAACAAUGGUACAAAGUCCUGCUACGAAUAAAGAGUUGAUAAAGAGGCAAUGGCAUCAUUAAAGAAAUAACUGAACUCUGAAAUUGAAACUGUUCUCCUUAUGAUGGAAUGCUGGAUUGAUAAGUGUGUGAAAUGAAAUCCAUGUAAGAGAUCCGUGGAAGGCUGAAAGAUUGAGUCCUUUGUGUAACUUCAUUAUGGAGCCAUGUCAAAUUUGCCAAAUGGCCCACACUGCUGAAAUACCAAGUGCAUUGUUUAUUUUAUCCAAUAUCUGUGUCCAGUUAUCAGCAGAAUCUUGAAAAGCUACUUGUCAUUCCUUUCGCAUCAAUGAGGUUGUAGAGAUAUACUAGAUAUUUCUUGUUUGUUUCAGAGAAAGAGCUUGCUCCUCAUUAUUCAGAAAAUCAGAAUUUCCACAUUUGGAAUAUGCUCUCUCCGGAUGUUUUUAUUAGACCUGUUAUUGCCCAGAAUUCUGUUCAUUCUGAAUCACAAGAUUGAAUUGCAUAUGAACCUGGCUGAUGGAUCUAUGUUCAAUUCAAAAGGAAUCUACGCUCAAUUCAAAAGGAUCUCUAGCAGUGCAGUUUAUUCUAGCAUAUAUUUCAAUUAAAGUUUUCCUGAUUGAAUGGAAACAUGUGAUUCCAAUUGACUGUUGUUUGGACCGAAUUAGUCUUACCAUCUAUCAAAUAAACAGUCAAGUCUUGUGAAUUAGAUUACUGCCUUUGACCGACUGAAUCUUCUGUUAGUAAGUGUUCAUGACAACUGUACUUUGGUUAAGAAUUGUUUGGAAUAAAACCAAGUGCCAAUUGCUAAUGGUCGCUGGAUGAAGAAAUGAAGCUAAUCUGAAGUUCAGUUGUAUGUUUAGUACUUUUCAAUGGAUUUUAAAAUGCAAUGCACUUUUGAUGACAAACGUUCUCCAAUUUGCCAAGAGGCUCCAGUAAGUCUGCAGAUGAUUGAUUUAGACUUAGAAAAUUCACUUCAUAACUUCAACAAACUUUUUCCGCCAGAUGUUGACGAGCUACUGAGUGAUAAGACUUUAUCUGACGUUUCCAAAGAUGUUGGAAGUACGAAUCAGGACAGUGUUGAUCGAAGACAAUCCGAAAGUGAAAUUUUUUCCUCCAGAAAUGGAUGCAGUGCAAAGGAUUUUAAAUGGAAUGACGAAAAAAUAAAGGAGUUAUCGGAAAUAAGAAGCCAACACCAUAAUACAUCGUCGGAAACCCAGUCCUGCCAGGGCCUGGAAAAUUUAGCUUUCUCUUCAAGUGUGGAGCCUCAGCACAGCAUUAAUGGAAGCACUGAUUACAGGCCAAAAGCAACAAAUGGCAAAAGAGCGGAUGGAAUUGAUACAAGCUGCAGUGCCAGUACUAAUACAAAGAAACUCAUGAAUUCGACAGAUUCUGGCAUAAAUGAAGAAAUUACUUAUCCCAGAAUCAAAGAUAGCUCUCUGCAACCGUCUUAUCUUCAAAAGCAAAAUGCAUCGGAGGGUUUCAAAAGUAGUGAGUCUUCAUCUGAGGCUAGUUCAUCACUUUCGUUAACUGAGUAUUUUGCCGAGGAUGAUUCUCUUCUACAGUCGCUCUUGCAUAAUAGCCAUGUUUGGAGUUUUAUGAAAAGUAGCCAAAUCAAAAGGCUCUCCAUGCCGCGCAAGUCAAAUUUGCAGCCCCACGCUGUUAAAAGAUCAAGAUCUGUUUCAGAGAUUGACAACUUCGUUUAUCAUUCAAUGGGCUCUCUGGAUUCUGCACUAAGUGCACAAAGAGAAGAUACUAAUGGGGCUGAGGAUGGUUUUCAGUUUUUCACUGGACAAAAGCAAUCUGCUGACAAGCUCUCAACUAACGACUCCUUGAAACGCACUAAGACUACAUCUUCUAACCGAUGUCAUUCACUCUCUAGCGUGGACUGCAACGAAGACAUCGAUUGGCAUUGGCUGGACGACCUGCUCAGGGUGGAAAAGCAGAGCUCCCGGGCUUCGGGGCCGGCAGCGGCGACAGAGACCUGCUUCCUGCAUGAGCCCGGGGCCGGGGGUGGCCCGGCGACCCCUUCGGCUCCCCCGGCACCGGCCGGACCCUCGACGACCCGGCGCCCGAAGGCGACGUGGCUCCGGGAGUCGAUGCGCCGGGUGCGGCACUUCCGGCUCGGGGAACCGGAGUCUCCGGCGAGGGUGGUCGACGAGCGAAACGAGCCCCUCUUCCCAUGCGAGAUCCUCGAGCGCUCCACCUCGGCCCCGGUGGAGCGGCCCCGGCAGUACGGGCGCCGCCACUCGGCAGCUGCCGCUUCGCCGUCGUCGUCGCGCUUCGGCGAGGACGUCGCCGUGUCCCGCCCACGCGCGGAGCUACUCCCGACCACGCCGGAGCACCUGCCCGUCACGCCGACCGCCCCGCCCGUGCCGCUCUGCGAGGAGUCCACCAGCACCGCCGGCUUUUCCUCCCCGGAAGCCUCGGACUCGGAGACGCAGCCGCCCAACCCCCCGGAUCACCUCGCUGACCCGUGUCAGUCAUCAGGUAAAGGACCCCACUUUAGUUUAUUGCUUGACCAUAGAUCUAGAGAAAGUACAAACACCGGGCUCAAUCGUAAUCUAUGUCCAAAAGAUCUUGCAAAUGGGGGCAACUCUAGUGGGAAAGGUGCAGGCAGAUCCAGACACUUCGAAGAGGGGGGGGUGUCUAGGGGGUUUCCCCCAGAAAAUUGUUGAAAUUUUAAAGCAUCUAAUAUUCGGUUUCAGUCAAUUUCGUCGUGAACAAUUACCAAGUAUAAG